rnacentral:rRNA from 1 species
GAUGAACGCUAGCUACAGGCUUAACACAUGCAAGUCGAGGGCAGCACAGUGUAGCAAUACAUGGGUGGCGACCGGCGCACGGGUGCGUAACGCGUAUCCAACCUUCCCGAUACUCUUGGAUAGCCUUCCGAAAGGGAGAUUAAUACCAAGAUGGUGUUUCACUUUCGCAUGUUAUUGAACUAAGAUUUAUCGGUAUCGGAUGGGGAUGCGUGACAUUAGAUAGUAGGCGGGGUAACGGCCCACCUAGUCUACGAUGUCCUAAGGGGUUCUGAGAGGAAGGUCCCCCANACUGGAACUGAGACACGGUCCAGACUCCUACGGGA